rnacentral:rRNA from 1 species
GGUAAGUUCCGACCUGCACGAAUGGCAUAAUGAUGGCGGCGCUGUCUCCAGCAGAGACUCAGUGAAAUCGAAAUCGCAGUGAAGAUGCUGUGUACCCGCGGCUAGACGGAAAGACCCCGUGAACCUUUACUACAGCUUUACAUUGAACUUUGACCUUACCUGUGUAGGAUAGGUGGGAGGCUUUGAAGCAGGCACGCCAGUGUCUGUGGAGCCAUCCUUGAAAUACCACACUGGUAAUGUUGGGGUUCUAACUCAAGCUUAACAGAGCUGAGGACAAUGUAUGGUGGGUAGUUUGACUGGGGCGGUCUCCUCCUAAAGAGUAACGGAGGAGUACGAAGGUGCGCUCAGAACGGUCGGAAAUCGUUCGAAGAGUAUAAAGGCAAAAGCGCGCUUAACUGCGAGACCCACAAGUCGAGCAGAUACGAAAGUAGGUCUUAGUGAUCCGGUGGUUCUGUAUGGAAGGGCCAUCGCUCAACGGAUAAAAGGUACUCUGGGGAUAACAGGCUGAUACCGCCCAAGAGUUCAUAU